AGUGAUCCCCUGCCUAGGGUUUGGGUUUGGGUUCGAGUAACAGCAACAGAGCUAAAACACUUCCUUCCUCGUUCUUCGACGGACGGCCGCCACCACUGACGCCGCAGUGUGACGACCCGCCACUUAGCUAUGUCAAACCAAAGCGGACGUAUGUGCCCUGCGCGGGUUCGGCCCUGCUGACCGGUCGGGGUCUGUGCAAGCCGUAUCGUACGCACGCCACUAACUAGUAGGGCACGCGUACGGACAUUGCGCAGCUUUCCGUUCCCUCCGAUCAGCGAACUCGCGGCAGCGUCCUCGGAAAACAAACACUCGGGUAACGUGCUAGAGGUUGGCCAUGCCUUGCGCAGCACCAGC
rnacentral:rRNA from 1 species